GAUGAACGCUAGCGGCAGGCCUAAUACAUGCAAGUCGAGGGAGAAUGUUGGAUUCGUCUGACAUGAAACCGGCGCACGGGUGCGUAACACGUAUGCAACCUACCUUUAACUGGGGUAUAGCUCAGAGAAAUCUGAAUUAAUCCCCCAUAAGACUACGACAUGGCAUCAUGAUGUAGGUAAAGCUCCGGCGGUUAAGGACGGGCAUGCGGUACAUUAGCUAGCUGGUGAGGUAAUGGCUCACCAAGGCUACGAUGUAUAGGGGGUCUGAGAGGAUGAUCCCCCACACUGGUACUGAGACACGGACCAGACUCCUACGGGAGGCAGCAGUAGGGAAGAUUGGUCAAUGGACGCAAGUCUGAACCAGCCAUGCCGCGUGAAGGAUGAAGGCCCUAUGGGUCGUAAACUUCUUUUAUUAGGGAAGAAAAAACGGGAUGCGUCCUGUACUGACGGUACUUAAUGAAUAAGGAUCGGCUAACUUCGUGCCAGCCGCCGCAGUAA
rnacentral:rRNA from 1 species